GCCACCCAGGCGCCCUCGUCAGAUAUUUUUGAUAGAAAUCACAGGGUUGGAAGCACUCCCUGUCCCGUUUCACCAGUAGUACCUCUGAACAUCAUUUGCCGGAGCCCCUAAAAACGCUAUACAGAACAGUCCCUGGGCUCAGGGAGAGGAUCCUCUCGUCUACACCCUCAGCAUCCAAUCUAGCCUCCUUCAGCCCCUUCUCCCACCAGAGAAGAAUGGGAUCAUUCUACAGACAUCAGAGAGAGGACCUGAAAAUUAAAUGGACAUAAAACAGAAUAACAGGAGGCGGGACUGGGUGACUCCGUCCACAGAGUGUGUGCCUUCAGCUCAGGUCAUGAUCCCAGGGCCCUGGAUUGAGUUCUCCGUCGGGCUCCUUGUUCA